GACGAACGCUGGCGGCGUGCUUAACACAUGCAAGUCGAACGGAAAGGCCCUGCUUUUGUGGGGUGCUCGAGUGGCGAACGGGUGAGUAACACGUGAGUAACCUGCCCUUGACUUUGGGAUAACUUCAGGAAACUGGGGCUAAUACCGGAUAGGAGCUCCUGCUGCAUGGUGGGGGUUGGAAAGUUUCGGCGGUUGGGGAUGGACUCGCGGCUUAUCAGCUUGUUGGUGGGGUAGUGGCUUACCAAGGCUUUGACGGGUAGCCGGCCUGAGAGGGUGACCGGCCACAUUGGGACUGAGAUACGGCCCAGACUCCUACGGGAGGCAGCAGUGGGGAAUAUUGCACAAUGGGCGGAAGCCUGAUGCAGCAACGCCGCGUGCGGGAUGACGGCCUUCGGGUUGUAAACCGCUUUCGCCUGUGACGAAGCGUGAGUGACGGUAAUGGGUAAAGAAGCACCGGCUAACUACGUGCCAGCAGCCGCGGUGAUACGUAGGGUGCGAGCGUUGUCCGGAUUUAUUGGGCGUAAAGGGCUCGUAGGUGGUUGAUCGCGUCGGAAGUGUAAUCUUGGGGCUUAACCCUGAGCGUGCUUUCGAUACGGGUUGACUUGAGGAAGGUAGGGGAGAAUGGAAUCCCUGGUGGAGCGGUGGAAUGCGCAGAUAUCAGGAGGAACACCAGUGGCGAAGGCGGUUCUCUGGGCCUUUCCUGACGCUGAGGAGCGAAAGCGUGGGGAGCGAACAGGCUUAGAUACCCUGGUAGUCCACGCUGUAAACGGUGGGUACUAGGUGUGGGGUCCAUUCCACGGGUUCCGUGCCGUAGCUAACGCUUUAAGUACCCCGCCUGGGGAGUACGGCCGCAAGGCUAAAACUCAAAGGAAUUGACGGGGCCCCGCACAAGCGGCGGAGCAUGCGGAUUAAUUCGAUGCAACGCGUAGAACCUUACCUGGGUUUGACAUGGAUCGGGAGUGCUCAGAGAUGGGUGUGCCUCUUUUGGGGUCGGUUCACAGGUGGUGCAUGGCUGUCGUCAGCUCGCGUCGUGAGAUGUUGGGUUAAGUCCCGCAACGAGCGCAACCCUUGUUCACUGUUGCCAGCACGUUAUGGUGGGGACUCAGUGGAGACCGCCGGGGUCAACUCGGAGGAAGGUGGGGAUGACGUCAAGUCAUCAUGCCCCUUAUGUCCAGGGCUUCACGCAUGCUACAAUGGCUGGUACAGAGAGUGGCGAGCCUGUGAGGGUGAGCGAAUCUCGGAAAGCCGGUCUCAGUUCGGAUUGGGGUCUGCAACUCGACCUCAUGAAGUCGGAGUCGCUAGUAAUCGCAGAUCAGCAACGCUGCGGUGAAUACGUUCCCGGGGCU
rnacentral:rRNA from 1 species